AGUGAACGCUGGCGGCAGGCCUAACACAUGCAAGUCGAGCGGCAGCGCGUCCGACCACCCUCGGGUGGUCGGAUGGCGGCGAGCGGCGGACGGGUGAGGAAUGCAUCGGAAUCUGCCUCGUUGUGGGGGAUAACGUAGGGAAACUUACGCUAAUACCGCAUACGACCUACGGGUGAAAGUGGGGGACCUUCGGGCCUCACGCGAUGAGAUGAGCCGAUGCCGGAUUAGCUAGUUGGUGAGGUAAAGGCUCACCAAGGCGACGAUCCGUAGCUGGUCUGAGAGGAUGAUCAGCCACACCGGAACUGAGACACGGUCCGGACUCCUACGGGAGGCAGCAGUGGGGAAUAUUGCGCAAUGGGCGAAAGCCUGACGCAGCCAUACCGCGUGUGUGAAGAAGGCC
rnacentral:rRNA from 1 species